rnacentral:lncRNA from 1 species
GAAGCUAGAUUAUGGGCUGGUGAUCUUGUAGGUACAUGCUUCUUUAGUCUUUCCAAGUACAUGAUAUGUCCAUGAAACUGGCCAUCAGUUUACUCUCUUAAACUGGUAUAUGUAAUCUCCCAUGUCUUCAUGUUAUAAAGUUUUUUGGACAAUUAGAUCUACUAAUACCAAAAUUUUAAACUCAAGUCAAAUUAAGUAGCAGAAUAGAUUUACAAAAUAUUCUGAGCAGGUAACGUAGUAGUAAAAUAUUCUGUUUUAUGAUUCCUGAUUGUAGAAGGUGUGAUUACAUUGUACAAUUUUUUGACAAAAGGAAAUAGGAAAAUCAUUUGAAAGGAAAUAAUAAUAUAAAUCUUAUUGACUGAUUAGUUGUACAAAAUUAUGACAAAACAGGUGGUUGCAGGUGGAGGUGCAGUUGAGACUGCCCUAUCUGUUUAUUUAGAAUACCGGACACUUCAUUUAAAUAAAGUAUCAAACUAUUUUAGCUUUAUUAGAGAUAUGGGAUUAUGUGUCAAGGUUUUGCGUUAAUGAGGUUAGAACAUGAUAUUAAUCAGUGCAUUUUAGUUAUUGUACUGAUAUUAUGAUUUCAUGAGGUCAGAACAUGACUUAUUUGCUUCAUUUUUCUGACUUGCUAUUAUUUUUAAUUAAAUAUGUGCAGGAAGAUUGCUUCUACGACCUGCCUUACAAUACUGG